CCUACGGGUGGCAGCGGUGAGGAAUAUUGGUCAAUGGACGAGAGUCUGAACCAGCCAAGUAGCGUGAAGGAUGACUGCCCUAUGGGUUGUAAACUUCUUGUAUAUGGGAAUAAAAUGUUCCACGUGUGGGAUUUUGUAUGUAACAUAUGAAUAAGGAUCGGCUAACUCCGGGCCAGCAGCCGCGGUAAUACGGAGGAUCCGAGCGUUAUCCGGAUUUAUUGGGUUUAAAGGGAGCGUAGGUGGAUUGUUAAGUCAGUUGUGAAAGUUUGCGGCUCAACCGUAAAAUUGCAGUUGAAACUGGCAGUCUUGAGUACAGUAGAGGUGGGCGGAAUUCGUGGUGUAGCGGUGAAAUGCUUAGAUAUCACGAAGAACUCCGAUUGCGAAGGCAGUUCACUGGACUGCAACUGACACUGAGGCUCGAAAGUGUGGGUAUCAAACAGGAUUAGAUACCCCUGUAGUC
rnacentral:rRNA from 1 species